rnacentral:rRNA from 1 species
AGAGUUUGAUCCUGGCUCAGGACGAACGCUGGCGGCGUGCUUAACGCAUGCAAGUCGAACGGAAAGGCCCUUCGGGGUACUCGAGUGGCGAACGGGUGAGUAACACGUGGGUGAUCUGCCCUGCACUUUGGGAUAAGCCUGGGAAACUGGGUCUAAUACCGAAUAUGACCACGCUCUUCAUGGGGUGUGGUGGAAAGCUUUUGCGGUGUGGGAUGGGCCCGCGGCCUAUCAGCUUGUUGGUGGGGUAAUGGCCUACCAAGGCGACGACGGGUAGCCGGCCUGAGAGGGUGACCGGCCACACUGGGACUGAGAUACGGCCCAGACUCCUACGGGAGGCAGCAGUGGGGAAUAUUGCACAAUGGGCGCAAGCCUGAUGCAGCGACGCCGCGUGAGGGAUGACGGCCUUCGGGUUGUAAACCUCUUUCACCAGGGACGAAGCGCAAGUGACGGUACCUGGAGAAGAAGCACCGGCCAACUACGUGCCAGCAGCCGCGGUAAUACGUAGGGUGCGAGCGUUGUCCGGAAUUACUGGGCGUAAAGAGCUCGUAGGUGGUUUGUCGCGUUGUUCGUGAAAACUCACAGCUUAACUGUGGGCGUGCGGGCGAUACGGGCAGACUAGAGUACUGCAGGGGAGACUGGAAUUCCUGGUGUAGCGGUGGAAUGCGCAGAUAUCAGGAGGAACACCGGUGGCGAAGGCGGGUCUCUGGGCAGUAACUGACGCUGAGGAGCGAAAGCGUGGGGAGCGAACAGGAUUAGAUACCCUGGUAGUCCAA